rnacentral:rRNA from 1 species
UACGAAGGGGGCUAGCGUUGUUCGGAAUUACUGGGCGUAAAGGGCGCGUAGGCGGUCCUGAUCGUCGGAUGUGAAAGGCCUGGGCUCAACCUGGGAAUGGCAUCCGAUACGGCGGGACUGGAGUGUGGGAGAGGUUGGUGGAAUUCCCAGUGUAGAGGUGAAAUUCGUAGAUAUCAGGAGGAACACCGAUGGCGAAGGCAGGUCUCUGGGCAUUAACUGACGCUGAGGAGCGAAAGCAUGGGGAGCGAACAGG